rnacentral:misc_RNA from 1 species
CAUCUAUAUACAUAGAGAUACACAGCUUCAGGUUCAUCCAAGAUCAGGGACAAUGAAGUACUCCUCAUCGGAAGGUUGUAUCCUGGGCCUCUUAGGAGGCAUACCGAAUUUAGGAGGCCGGUAGUAGGCGGAACUGCUCGCCGGUGAGAUCGGAACUUCAGGAACUUCAGCUGCUGUCAGUGCUCCUCUGGUCAUCUGUCCUUGGAAGAGGUCAAUAUCUGCAAACCAUUGUAGCUCCCCGAAACCACCAGAAAACUCCUUCUGCGUCUUGUCGCCACAUUCAUAAUCGGACAGCUGGAGGAAUUCAUCAACAGUCCAAGUCGAGGGAGCGAAUGGCGAAGGCGACUGCUGUAUUGUAGGAACUUUUGGUGGCAGUAACUCACUUUCUGGUGGCUCCGAACAUCCCUUGCCAUUGUUCUUGUUGCAGGAUGAACUCGGAGCUACACGAAUUCCUGUUGCCAGGAAACGCUGGUGGUCGCCGGACAGGCUGCCAGCAACAUGAAUGGGCUCGUCACAGUCACGGCAGAAGAGAGCUCUAUCCUCCACACAGAAAAUAAAAGCUGGUUUCUCCUGGCAAAUAUCACAGCGCGGGAGCUUGGUAGACAAGCUCUGGAGCAUCAAUCUCUGGUGCUUGCUGGCAAGCUUGUUGGCCGCAUGAAUCUCUACAUCGCAGGCAGCGCAGAGCGCCGCCUCAUCGGCGCAGCAUAUCACAGUCGCCGGCGCCUUCUCGCAGACAUCACACUGGAUCCUCAUGCCUCCCACUCCUCAAUCAAAUACCACGUACUAACCCUUAUGAGUUACCCAUGUUGAAUUACUAUUCUAGGGUUGCAAAAGAGAAGAAGGGUAGUUGGAAACCCUAAUGAAGAAGAAGGCUGAACAGAAAGAAAUCUAGAGAAGGG